rnacentral:rRNA from 1 species
UACGUAGGGGGCAAGCGUUGUCCGGAUUUACUGGGCGUAAAGAGCGUGUAGGCGGCCAAACAGGUCCGUUGUGAAAACUGGAGGCUCAACCUCCAGACGUCGACGGAAACCGUGUGGCUAGAGUCCGGAAGAGGAGAAUGGAAUUCCUGGUGUAGCGGUGAAAUGCGCAGAUAUCAGGAAGAACACCCGUGGCUAAGGCGGUUCUCUAGUACGGUACUGACGCUGAGACGCGAAAGCGUGGGGAGCGAACAGG